UACGGAAGGCAGCAGUGGGGAAUAUUGCACAAUGGGCGCAAGCCUGAUGCAGCCAUGCCGCGUGUAUGAAGAAGGCCUUCGGGUUGUAAAGUACUUUCAGCGGGGAGGAAGGCGAUGCGGUUAAUAACCGCGUCGAUUGACGUUACCCGCAGAAGAAGCACCGGCUAACUCCGUGCCAGCAGCCGCGGUAAUACGGAGGGUGCAAGCGUUAAUCGGAAUUACUGGGCGUAAAGCGCACGCAGGCGGUCUGUUAAGUCAGAUGUGAAAUCCCCCGGGCUUAACCUGGGAACUGCAUUUUGAAACUGGCAGGCUUGAGUCUUGUAGAGGGGGUAGAAUUCCAGGUGUAGCGGUGAAAUGCGUAGAGAUCUGGAGGAAUACCGGUGGCGAAGGCGGCCCCUGGGACAAAGACUGACGCUCAGGUGCGAAAGCGUGGGGAGCAAACAGGGAUUAGAUACC
rnacentral:rRNA from 1 species